rnacentral:rRNA from 1 species
GACGAACGCUGGCGGCGUGCUUAACACAUGCCAGUCGAACGGAAAGGCCUGCUUUCCCUUGUGGAUUGCGGGUACUCGAGUGGCGAACGGGUGAGUAACACGUGAGUGAUCUGCCCCCAACUUGGGUAUAAGCCUGGGAAACUGGGUCUAAUUCCCGAUAGGACUGCAGGGUGGUGCCUGUGGUGGAAAACGAUUUUCUAGUGGUUGGGGAUGAGCUCGCGGCCUAUCAGCUUGUUGGUGGGGUAAUGGCCUACCAAGGCGGCGACGGGUAGCCGGCCUGAGAGGGUGGACGGCCACAUUGGGACUGAGAUACGGCCCAGACUCCUACGGGAGGCAGCAGUGGGGAAUAUUGCACAAUGGGCGGAAGCCUGAUGCAGCGACGCCGCGUGGGGGAUGACGGCCUUCGGGUGGUAAACUCCUUUCGACCGCGAGGAAGCCACCUGGUUGGAAGGGUGGUGACGGUAGUGUUAGAAGAAGCACCGGCUAACUACGUG